UAUAUUAUUAGCUGAAUGUAUGCCUUCAUUCCGAUGUAAGCAACAAACUUAAAUAAACUUAGAAAGACUAAAGUCAGGCCAAGCGCUAGAAGCAGAAGAUAAGAUCUUAUCUUAUAUACUGUAUAAUGUAGGCACACUUAUAAGAUACACAAAUCCUCUCUGAUAAUAUGGUUAAAAAAGUCUUCAGUCCCUGAUUGAUUUGCUCAGAGAUCUCCAGCAUAGGGGUGUUUAAUGACAGAAAGCCCUCUCACCCGGAGUGUGUCGCCUAUCCUUGGGAACAGUAAGCAGUCCAGUGGACCUAAGCGACCAGAACAGGGGUGUAAAGUACCUUGCUGAAGGGUACAGCAGCAGUGUCCCCCACCUGGGAUUGAAGCCACGACCCUCCGGUCAAGAGUCCAGAGCCCUAACCACUACUCCACAGUGCUGCCCUGGAUAAUCCUUUUUGCAGAUUGUAGCUGCAAUUCCCCACACAGCUCAGAAGAACUGAAGGUUCAGCGGGCAUCCUCCAUUCCCACGACCAAGCCAGCUUCCUCAUUUACACCAAGGAACUCGCAAGCUACCAGCCUCUGGAGAACAAUGGCCAGCCCUGCAGGUGUCUGUCUGAGCUCACUGGGCACCUGGCCAGCAGGGUUCGCUGCAGCCUGAUGAGGAGAAACAGUCCUUGCCAGUUUUGCCUUCCUAACCCAGGAGAGCACCACAGCCAACGCGACCCUCCCUUCAGAAUCCACGAUGACUCAGCAUAGUCAGGACGCUCCCCUAUGCUCCCCUGACUAUAUGACUCACCCUCCACACCACACGGGGGCUGUGCUUUUACCAGACGAGCCACUGGGGAACCCUCUAUGAGCUCUUUAAUAGUCUAAACCAAUAUGUAUGUCAGUCUUGAUCACUUCUUUGAGGGAGAUAAGAAUGAGUGAUGUAAGAAUGAGUGAUAUUGUAUUGGCUGUUUGUCCUAGAAGAGGAAACUAUGGGAUUAUGUCUGGGCAACAGGGACAAAGCCGCACAAUCAUAAAGUUGGAGGAUAUGAGCAGAAAACUUUGUUUUCAUCAUCAACAACACAAUAGGUUUACCUGAGUGUUAAAGAAUAUAAAGAAUAGUAAUCAACUGAGUAAGCAACCAACAUCCCUUCCCCAUAAGUCUUCCACUAUUUAAAAUAACAUUAUGUAUGUCCCCAAUGAGCUAUUGAUGUAAAACUUUUGAUGUAUUUUUUAUUGUAAAACAUGAUAACUGGUACUACACUAGUUUGAAGAAAUCUCUGUUUGCUAGGCAUGCUUUCAGAUAGUGUUGCAACUCUUUCAUCGUUUGCGGCCAAUAGCAUUCUUUGACCAUGAAGACACCCCUUAUGUUAAAAGACCUUGGAAGUGAAGCAGUAACAUAUUUCCUGAAAGGCAAGCAAACAUAACUUUCUUUAUCAGUGUAGUACCAGAUGCCAUGCUUUAAAAUUAAAAUACAUGCUUGCUCCAACCUGUGUAGCAAAUGGAAGUACAAAGCAGGUACAAUUUAAGAAAUUAUUUUGUUAGCUAUAAUCGCUUUAAAAUGGUCAUGUAUUAAGUGCAUUAUAAAUGUAUGCAUAGUAUGGGUUCACAGUAUGUUAUUUGCACAUUUACCUUUGGGAUAUUUACUCCAAGCAGAGACAAAAUAGGUUUUCUAGAUUGCAGACAAGCACUAUUCACAGAUACAGCUGCAUAAGCAAAAUCCCAGAGCAAAUUAAAGGUGAAACCACCAGCCUAAUGCAUGUUUCUCAAUUACAAGCACCUGCGUUAGAUCAAUUAAAAGUCUUAAUUCGCAGAAACAAUGAAUAGCCUACAACUGUGCUUCAUUAAUUAAAAAAAGGUAUCAGCCACUUCCAGCCAAGUAUUUUAUUAUAGUAAGUAAUAUGUGAAACAGAGUUAAACAAACACAUAUCUACACAUAAACCUUACAUCAGGCAGUGGGUUGAUACCUGUUAGUCUGAGGUUAAUAUUCUGUGGUUGCUGUAAAAUGGCAUAGGGUGUACAUUCUGUUCUUCCACUAUUUUUAAACAAUAAGUUUUGUUUUCAAUUGUAAUUCCAUUUCUAAAGCUUGUCUAAGUUUACACUGAUUAAUAUUAGUACCGUAAGAAAUAUUUAGAUUUAUUGGCCUUAAGAAAGUGUUAGUAUUAACAAGUAUACAGUAUUAAUAGUUCAUAAGACUAAAUGAAAGAAAUAUUGUACAUUUGCUACAGAUAUUUGGUUAAUACACCAGGAACAUCCUUCGUAAAGAGGUGUUGCAUUAUUAGAGUCGACGUGACGUUAUCUGUUCACAUGUAGAUGUGCUGUAGAUGCUUCUGGAGAUACAGAUUCUCCCAGAUUUGGUAUUUUAAAUACAGGUGUGUUCACUUUGUGUAUAGUUGUUCUUGGGCUCACAAAUAUCUUCCUGGAGAAUGUUUGCUGGGUUUACACAAGCAUGUUGCUCCAGUGUCGGUAUUUGAAAAGGUAACCUCAUAUUUGCUAUGUAAAAAUAAUGUGAACUCAAAGCAACUAUCAGACAGAAACAUGGGAAUAUGUAGGAGGGAAGGUCGUUCUUUGUCUGUUGCAGGCUGUGUGUAUGUACUUCAAAGUAAUGCAGCAUUACAGUUCUCCCUAGUUUGGGGACGUAUAACUUCCCAAAACCACUUUCCCCAGGUAUUGCUGAGCUGGAAACGGUGGGCGAGGUGUAGCUGGAGGGUGUUUCCACUGACGCUCAGCUAUACCUCAGCUAGACAUCAGACAGUACAGUUUUGUAUCUCCUAUCUAACGGGGCCAAACUGUGCUGUGCAGAAGUACAUCAUCGGAAGGUGUGGGCUAAUAAGAUAAACUGUUUUGAACAAUGGCGGCUGUAAGCGAACGAUAUGUUAAAAAAAAAAGACAAAGUUGUUGCUUUGUGGGACGCAGAAUACAUUCCAGCUCUCCUCAACCUUUGGGCGGAAAACCACAUUCAAGAGCAGCUGUCAGGCACAGUUAGAAAUGUAAAAGUGUCUUACAAAAUUGCGGAAAUUCUGUGGCAGCAGGGGAUCAAUCGCUAUUCAGUGUUGAGAUCAAAUUGAAAAAUGAAUACAAGAUUAAAGUGAAUAACACAACAUGACCUUUUUACUGCCGCACUACAACUUCCUGGGUCAGCUAUACCUGACAAUUAGAAUGGAACGCACACAGCCAUCUUUAACUACACCUCACCCAGACCAGCCAGCUCAGCUAUACCUGGGAAAAGGCAGUGGAAAUGAGGCAUCAGACACCUAAUUAACACCUUCAAUUUUUUACACCUCAGGUGAUAUGGGACUAUUAGAAACUCUUCUUUGACAUGCAGUCUAGGGAAAACCCUGUCUGACACAAGCAUGAAAGCAGAUUAAACAGUUGUCAUGACUGAUGUCCUGUUUAUUUUACAAUGUUUUAUUGGACAGACCCUGUAAAAUAUUUUGUUUGUGAUUGGUGUUACUCAGCAACUAUGUGUUAGGGUUAGUGUUCUGGAAUUAGCAGGGUGUAUAAUUUUAGUAUUUACAGAACUCUGAUUGCAAAACAUAGCAAUGCCUGAGGCAUUCUGAUAUUAAUCAUUAAAUGUUCCAAACACAAAUUCAUUUAAUUAGCUGUGUGUCCACACUGGGGUUUCAAUUACAUGAUUGAGUAUUUUAAGGUUGUGUUUAUCAUCAUAUUCAGAGUUUGCCAAUCACUCUGUGUACUCAAUGAAUCAGGUUGUAUGUAGGAUUUGCUCCCAUCUGAUCACCCAUUUCCCCCUUUUAAUGAUACUAUUUUAUCAGCUUACAAUAGGAUUUGUGCAGACAAAUAGAUACUGUAUAGUAGUUCUUGUAAAGCCACCCAGGUCCUGCUUCUGGGCAAAAUACACCUUUAAUGGUCUGUCUAGAAGACCCCGCAGCUUGGAUCAGGUGUCAGUCUAUUUUAGUACUUCUCUUCAACUAUGACUUCGAGUUCACAAUCUAGUUGUGCAAUGUUUCAGGACGGCAUGAGCCUCUUGGCAGUUUUGUGAUGUGGACUAUUGUUAAUUAAAACUGCCAACUCAUUUGUGACCAAAUACCUCAGUACCAUCCCCCAGGUGUUAGUUUAAACCCUUAAUCUUUGAUUAUGUUACUGCACUUGCCAUCUGAGCAUCACACCCACUUCCUCCAGAUAGUAUUAUUUUAUUUUUUUAAACUGUAGAACACUUCCUUGAACCCCCCUAUUAGUGUUUAAAUAAAACAAUGCUUGAAACACUUGUCUUUCUGGACAUAUUUCUACUUAUACAUGGUGAAGAAUAAUGAUAAACACUGACAUUUUACAGUCUUAUUGAUGAUAAAACUGGUAGCCUGCGGCCCGAAAUCAGUUCCACAAGGCCAGCCACAGAGAGCCGAUAUCACCCCCGAGCGGGCAGCCUUCUCACACAGUGGCUUGAGUUAUGGGUACUUGUCCUUCUAAGCGGACCUCUCAACCACUUGAAUGUACACGCUACAAAACAGACGUUAAAAAUAACAAAACCAAUCAAAUCUAACCACCGCAGGGAAUUAAGUCAGCUGAGACCGCUACCUCGGCACCGGGUAUCAUAGUUAUAACUGGUGUAUUUUUUUUUUUUUCCUGCAGGUCUGCUGUAAAAUUACAUUAUAAUUCAUAUUGUACACCGAGGAAAUGAACAGUGUGACCCUCCCUUUAUCUUUUAAAACACUAAUCCUAUAGAAAUUAAUUAAAAAAUUUAAGGAGUUAAUGUCACAAAGUGUUUAUGUUCCAAAGGUUAAUGGUUGAAAAAAACAAACAUGGAAACAAAGAUGAAACCAUAACUAUAUAGCAGUACUAUUAUGCUGCUAUAAUAAUUAUCAGCCCUUAAGUAGUGAAAUCAAUAAAUACACCAAGGCUUCACCUUGUGACUUACA